GACACUGAACAUAAUAAAGAAAUAACUUUGAGCCAGAUGAAGUUAAGAGGCCUCUGGAAGUAGCUGAGUUUUGUUUCUGGAGUGGCUUGGCAAACCAUGUGUCUCUUCCAAGCCCCAGCCUUCUCGAUAGUAACGUGAGGCUCAUCCUAAGAGAGUUUACUUGAGGUUGUAAGAAAUGACCAAGGAAGGGGCUCCAUGGCACUUUGCAAAUACCUGGGACUAUGGCAACGUGGAAGACUGAUACCGGUGAGCAGUGACAGAAGGCGUAGAUGAGUGAUUCACAGCCCUGGCUCCGCGUGAGAAAGAGCUGGGAAGCUUUCCUGGCAACGGCUGGGAGUUAAUGCCCACUCACGUGAGUUAUAAAAUAGUCCUCAGGUAUUUCUGCCGCACAAAGGCUUGAAAACCACUGGUACAUGACGUGGGGACUGAUGUCCGUCAAUAAUAGGUAGAAAGAACGGGGCGAAGAAACAGGUUGAGGUAAGGUAAUAAAGGAUGAGAAGAAAAUGAACAUGAAGUAAAAGGUGGGGCACCAGGGCAGCUCUGUCGGUUAAGUGUCCGACACUCGGUUUCAGCUCUGGCCAUGAUCUCACAGUUUGUGAGUUUGAACCCCAAGUCGGGCGCUGGGCUGACAGCGCGGAGCCUGCUUGGGAUUUCUUUCUGUCCCUCUCUCUGCCCCUCCCUGGCUUGCUCGCUCUCUCGCUCUCUCUCUCUCUCUCUCAAACAAUAAAUAAGCAUAACAAAUUUUAAAGUAAGGAAAUGAAGUAAAAGAUAAAAAUGUUUAGGGGAAAGGAAGUGACUGACGUGGCAAAUCACCAAGGACCAGAGAAAGAAGAAAUGAAAGGGAGCUAGUUUCUUGGUUUAAGUAUGGCAUGCAUGACACAGGUGGAGAACCCUGCCAUAGCUGCGUGAGGAACAUGUGAAGCAUCCUCUGGAUAAUCGGAAAAGGGUUGUUUGGGAGGAAAGAAAAAAAAAAAAUGAGGGUAGUCUGAUGCAGAAAAACGUGGGGAAGGCCAAGUACAGAGUCUCUGCUUUUCUCAGACUCUAGGAGAAUAGCCAGGAACUGUUUUCUCAUCCGUCAGUGGUUAGAGACAAGCAGGGAUGGGCCCCCUCUCCUCAGUAAGAAGCUGGUGUCAGGACCCCUGGCCAAGGGUCGUUAGUUCCCACCGGGCACAGAGGUUGGGCUGGGCCUCUCCGGGGCGCAAGCCACGGACCUGCUACAGCAGGCACUUUCUCCAGAAAUAUGGCUGCAAAGAAAACUAAUACGCGACAACAUCCAGUAGAUCAGAAAAAUGUGUUUUGGAGACACUGCCUGGAGGAUUUAUGAAAGCAUUCAGUCACAAUAUCAUCACGGGAGAGGCAGUAAGUAGCGUUCAGAGAGAAACAGGUGGAUAGAUUGAUGAAAUGCGAGAAGGCAAGGCGGAUGGCGGAGAGGCCUCAGCGGCCAUGUUGGAGGGUAAAAGCUGGAGAUGAGAAGGUCCUUUUAAGAACAGAAAAGCUGCUAGAAAAGGCUGAGAGAAAGCAGGUGUCAAAAAAAAAUGACGAAAGAAAUGUGAGACUGGAAGAAAGUUACGAAGGAAUGGGGAUCCGGUCCCUACAGGCCAGGGAAGCGGUUCUAAAACUUUGGCAUGCAUUCAGCCCACCCUGGAUGGUUGUUGAAAGGCACAUCCUCAGACCCCAUUCCAGACCCUCAGAUUCAGAGGGUCUGGAAUGGGAUAGCUCCAAGAAUUCCCAUUUAAGAUACCAAAGUGGAACAAAUGAGGGCUGCGGGUGGAGGAAACUUGGAGGAAUACUGGCCUCAGUUAUUCAUACCAGUGUCAUUUUACUGUGGUUACGUACUUAGAGACAACAGGAAUUCUUUCUGCCCUAACGUCAGGCACAAAUACGUGCACAUCAAUCAGUCUCCACACUGGUGACCAGGAGAGUGGAGAGGGUGAGACUUCACGGGCAGCCCAAGCACAGUCCCCACCCACCACUUCCCCCCCGCCACUCCCCACCCCCCCAAAAAAGCUUGAGAGCAAAGUCUUGGUUCUCUCUUAGUAGACUGGAUAGUUAACAUUUAUAUAAAGCACAAAAACUGAGGGGAGAAAAGCAUUUUCUGUGCAACAUCUCUUUGUUGCCCCAAGUAUGUGAUGUGCUAAGAUUAAAAAACAAAACAAAACAAAACAAAACUGUGGGAAAAGUUGCUAUUCCUUG